AAAUCAGAUGUUCAACUUCGGUUGAUCCACUCUAUCCUAAGCCUUGCAUCCCUAUGAAUCAAUCCAUGGCUAUUUCUUCUAUAUAUUGAUAAUUAUAUAUUAUAUGUAUAUGCUCGCACUUCAAUAAGACAACGAUGGCAUUGAAUCUAUUCAUGCUGAGACUUCUUUCCAAGGUCUAAGGAUCUUUGUGGAGUCGAUCGGGUCGUUUGUACAUUCUCCGUAUGCUGCAGCAAAGUUGGCAAGUAGGAUCUUGAGACAAUUACUACGCCGAUCAGCAACCAUCUUUCACCAUUCAUCGGCGGUUGGGAAAAGAAGUUGGCAAUUAGGAUCCUGAGACAAUUAAUACGCUGAUCAGCAAUGGAACGUAUUUCACCGUUGAUCGGCUGUUCGGCGUGGAAGUUGGCAACUGGGAUAUUGAGACAAUUACUAUGCCAAUCAGCCACCAUAUUUCACCUGAUUGGCUCUUAGGAAAUGAAUUUGGCAAUCAAGAUCUUGAGACAAUCGCUACACUAAUCAGCAACCGACCUAAUUCACCAUUGAUCGGCUGUUGGGAGUGGAAAUUGGCAAUCAGGAUCUUGAGACAAUUACUAUGCCGAUCAGCAACGGAUCAUAUUUCACCAUUGAGCGGCUGCUGGGAGAGGAAAGUUUUCUAAAAUCCCAAUAUAUAACUUUUUACAUAGGAUUUUAGAUAUUUUCCAUCAAAACAACGCCUGAGUGGAGAUACAUCAUGACAUGAGGGAUAUAUUGCUGAUUUCUUCUUCACAGAUGAAACUUUUCCCUGCUCUUUCUCUAUAUAAAAAUAGAAAAACCGAAGUCAUUUUGGGAGAAGUUUUAAGUAACAAUUGGAAUUUCUUGAAAUAUUUUCAUAUGGAGAGAAGAAGUACCACAGUCGUAUGAUCGUUUCUUGGCUGAAACAGAUAAAAUAGAACAGGUGAAGUACUUCAGGAUGGAGGAAAAACGUAGUACUAUGCAAAUGGAAAGGGAAGAUUGUUGUGGGUCAGAAUAAAGGAGCGAAUGAAAGAGCAUUAUGCUCGGUUUCUCUAGCUCGUAAUAAGGAACUUCGAGAAAAUGCAGCACCUUGAUUCUCCUCCACUGCCGUACGUACUACAGCUUAUGGAAUAAUUGUCAAAGAGAAGAUAUGGCGAAUGUACUGCAGUCAUCUUGGGCUUAUUUGGGAAGUGGAAACCUUUCAUAGCUAGCGAGGGAGGGCAGGGGGAUCGGACAGCUCUGCCCGGCGAAGCCAUUCUCUCCUACCAUAUAUAUGUUGCUGGUUAUUGAGUAUGUAUAUGUAUGCUUGGCUUGUGGCUACAUCUGGUGAAAGCUGCUUUAUAUAGCAUUAUGAUGUUAGGCCUUGGGGUUAUAUUUUGGCAUGUCCACAUUUUGAAUUGGAAUUUCGCCUGCCAUCUCUAAUGGAUUGCUCGAGUUAUAUAUAUACAUUUUUCUUCGGCCAAA